rnacentral:tRNA from 1 species
GGCGGUAUAGCUCAGUUGGCUAGAGCACACGGUUCAUACCCGUGGUGUCACCGGUUCGAGUCCAGUUUCCGCCACCA